AUUGAACGCUGGCGGUAUGCUUAACACAUGCAAGUCGAACGCUGAAGGGUGCUUGCACCUGGAUGAGUGGCGGACGGGUGAGUAAUGCAUAGGAAUCUGCCUAUUAGUGGGGGACAACGUGGGGAGACUCACGCUAAUACCGCAUCCGAUCUACGGAUGAAAGCCGGGGACCUUCGGGCCUGGCGCUCAUAGAUGAGCCUAUGUCGGAUUCGCUAGUUGGUGGGGUAAAGGCCUACCACGGCGACGAUCCGUAGCUGGUCUGAGAGGAUGAUCAGCCACACUGGGACUGAGACACGGCCCAGACUCCUACGGGAGGCAGCAGUGGGGAAUAUUGGACAAUGGGCGAAAGCCUGAUCCAGCAAUACCGCGUGUGUGAAGAAGGCCUGAGGGUUGUAAAGCACUUUCAAUAGGAAGGAAUACCUAUCGGUUAAUACCCGGUAGACUGACAUUACCUAUACAAGAAGCACCGGCUAACUCCGUGCCAGCCGCCGCCGUAAAAC
rnacentral:rRNA from 1 species